ensembl:lncRNA
UAUCUGUUGAGACGUUUACGCCCGCUGCUGCUAUGGCAACUCCCGGCAAAGGGAAUAGGGAAGCAGGCGGAGGUGGCGCAGACAUGCAUCGGGGUUCGGGAGGUCAGGAGAAGCAGGUGAAGGGGGUGAAGGAGGUGAUCACGGCCCUCUGUAACCUCCUCUCCGCCCUCCAGCUCCACUCUGUACCCAGCGCCGAGCUCUUCAGACGGGCCAAGUUCAACAAGGACGACGCGGUGCCGGAGAUGUGGAGGUUUCUCUACAGCCUUUUGAAACCAGCUCUGGUGUUGGAGUGUGAGUGCCAGCAUGGAGAAUUGGGGGACCAGGUCAGGUUUGUGAGGAGCGCGCUGUGGCAUUGUGGAUAUGCUGCCCCGUGGGUAGUGGAUGGCAGUUGCCAUGGCAAUGAUGUCGGCAGCCGGGAGCUGCUUCUGGCCUUUGGUUGGUUGCUGUCCUCCGGGAGUCUCCUGGAGUUCCUGCUGAGUGAGCGGACGCUGCAGCUGCAGCCACUGGCCAUACCUGCACAGUCAUCCCCCUGUUUCCCCGUUGGACCUGUUGCCGCUGUAGAAGGGGACGGUGACCUGAAGAGGCUGCAGUGGGAGUUCGGGAAGCUGCGGUUCCAGUGGAGGAAGCUGCUCGCUGCUCAGGAGGAGAGGUCCAAACUCAUCCACAGGGCAGGUCCUCCUUCCACACAGCUGAACAUGGCCAUGAACACUGCUCUUUUAGACUAUGCAGGGUUCCUUCCGUCUUCUAAACCCUGGAAAAGUCGUAUAACAUGACCUACGUAGUUCCUGUACAUUUACAACUACAUCAUCAUCUAAAACCAGCGCAGGUCUGUAGUAUCUUUUGCGUGCGUUGCUUCCAUAUUCCAGAACUUUCUCAUUUACAGCAUUUACCAGACGCCCUUAUCCAGAGCGACUCACAGUCAGUCCCCCCUGGAGACACUCAGGGUUAAGUGUCCUGCUCAGGGACACGAUGGUAGUAAGUGGGGUUUGAACCUGGGUCUUCUGGUUCACAGGCGGUGUGUUACCCGCUAGGCUACUACCACCCUGUUCUCAGCCACGUUUCUCCUUUUAAAAGUAGAUUACAGCUGAUGAUCCACGCUGGAACAUGACACGUCCGUUUUACUCAAACUUGGAGGAAAAAACUUCUUCUUUAAUGACUUAAUUGUCAUGAGUUUAGUCGUUUUGAUAAAUUUGACUUUUUUUGUGAUUUUAUCAGAACGUAUGGUCAUGAAAAUGUGCCUUUUGUAAAAAUGCGCGAGCACCCUGACUAUUGUCGCGCUAAUAUUGUGAUCCUUUUGGCCGGUUCCAGACACGGUCCCGCUGUGCUGGAACAGUGAUGAUAAAAAUCCUCCUAAACGCUUGUCUACCUGCAGCUGAUCAUGAAAGAUCAGUUUUGCGCGCGUGGAAAUGCUGAUUCUGGACCACAAGUGAUCCUGUGCGCCCUGAGGUCAUGAUCAGAGUAAAAGGUUUCGGUGAUGGUGUUCAUUCUGUCUGACCGCAUCUUAAUCUGCGUGUGUGUGAAGGUCCUUUCUGAAGUCCAGGACCACCCCGUGACUCCCAGCUCAGCUGCAGGUUUCACCUCUGACCCCUCAGAGCUCACCAAGGUAGGAGGUGUUGGGGGGUGUCUUUUUAUGUGGGAGUGGCUUGAGGAGCAGAAGUGUACACGACGCUGAUCUCUCCAUCUUCACGCCCUGACCCGGCAUUCAUCUCAGCGCUGGGCGGGGUGAUGGGGGGAUGAGCGAGUGACUCCCUCUGGAGGCCUCGCUCUCUCUUAUUUUUCUCCGUAUGAGCAUGUGGAUUAAAGAACCGAAUCUGUCCCAGAAUCCGAGGACAGCGUGAACCAAGUGCAGAAGCGGGGAGGUUAUUUCUGUCUGUUUUGUUAAAUGGUUUUCUGUGUGUGUGUGUGUGUGUGUGUGUGUGUGUGUGUGUGUGUGUGUGUGUGUGUGGAGAGAGAUAAAUAUGCCCCCUGUGUGCGACUCUAGUGGUUGAUCUGCAGGAGAACCUUGUUCUCAGCACUGACAGCCCCCUGUGGAGACGCCCUCACCCCACCCCAAACACUCCACUGCAGGGCUGCAAGACGAGGCUGUGUGUGUGUGUGUGUGUGUGUGUGUGUGUGUGUGUGUGUGUGUGUGUGUGUGUGUGUGUGUGUGUGUGUGUGUGUGAAUAAAAGGCCGUCAUAUUCAUGAUCA